ensembl:miRNA gga-mir-12224 gga-mir-12224
AACAGUGGAAUGCACCUAGCUGAGAUGGUGGGCUUUCUCUGUUAGGUGUCUUCCACAGGGCA